GCGAAUGUGGUGGAACGGCAGACACAACGGACUUAAAAUCCGUCGGGGCGACCCGUGGGGGUUCAAAUCCCCCCAUUCGCACCA
rnacentral:tRNA from 1 species